rnacentral:rRNA from 1 species
CCUACGGGUGGCAGCAGUGGGGAAUUUUCCGCAAUGGGCGAAAGCCUGACGGAGCAAUACCGCGUGAGGGAGGAAGGCUCUUGGGUUGUAAACCUCUUUUCUCAGGGAAGAAGUACUGACGGUACCUGAGGAAUCAGCAUCGGCUAACUCCGUGCCAGCAGCCGCGGUAAUACGGAGGAUGCAAGCGUUAUCCGGAAUGAUUGGGCGUAAAGCGUCCGCAGGUGGCUGUGCAAGUCUGCUGUCAAAGCUCAGGGCUUAACCCUGAAUCGGCGGUGGAAACUGUAGAGCUAGAGUGCGGUAGGGGCAGAGGGAAUUCCCAGUGUAGCGGUGAAAUGCGUAGAGAUUGGGAAGAACACCAGUGGCGAAAGCGCUCUGCUAGACCGCAACUGACACUCAGGGACGAAAGCUAGGGGAGCGAAUGGGAUUAGAUACCCCGGUAG